rnacentral:rRNA from 1 species
UGACAAGUCGAGCGGGGAAGAGUAGCUUGCUACUUAACCUAGCGGCGGACGGGUGAGUAAUGCUUAGGAAUCUGCCUAUUAGUGGGGGACAACAUCUCGAAAGGGAUGCUAAUACCGCAUACGUCCUACGGGAGAAAGCAGGGGACCUUCGGGCCUUGCGCUAAUAGAUGAGCCUAAGUCGGAUUAGCUAGUUGGUGGGGUAAAGGCCUACCAAGGCGACGAUCUGUAGCGGGUCUGAGAGGAUGAUCCGCCACACUGGGACUGAGACACGGCCCAGACUCCUACGGGAGGCAGCAGUGGGGAAUAUUGGACAAUGGGGGGAACCCUGAUCCAGCCAUGCCGCGUGUGUGAAGAAGGCCUUUUGGUUGUAAAGCACUUUAAGCGAGGAGGAGGCUACCGAGAUUAAUACUCUUGGAUAGUGGACGUUACUCGCAGAAUAAGCACCGGCUAACUCUGUGCCAGCAGCCGCGGUAAUACAGAGGGUGCAAGCGUUAAUCGGAUUUACUGGGCGUAAAGCGCGCGUAGGUGGCCAAUUAAGUCAAAUGUGAAAUCCCCGAGCUUAACUUGGGAAUUGCAUUCGAUACUGGUUGGCUAGAGUAUGGGAGAGGAUGGUAGAAUUCCAGGUGUAGCGGUGAAAUGCGUAGAGAUCUGGAGGAAUACCGAUGGCGAAGGCAGCCAUCUGGCCUAAUACUGACACUGAGGUGCGAAAGCAUGGGGAGCAAACAGGAUUAGAUACCCUGGUAGUCCAUGCCGUAAACGAUGUCUACUAGCCGUUGGGGCCUUUGAGGCUUUAGUGGCGCAGCUAACGCGAUAAGUAGACCGCCUGGGGAGUACGGUCGCAAGACUA